AAAAUAAUACUUAAAAUCAACUAAUGGAAAUAUUAAAUAAUUUAAUUAUUUUGUUAUUUCUGAUUUUUGAUUCUCUGUAGAUUUUUUUGGCAACAAGGACUCCGCGAACAAAAGGUAUUGAGAAUUCUUGCUUUAUACUAUAGAUCUUGUUCCGUGGUAGAUAAUGCAUGUAUAUCGAUAAAAUAAAUAUAUUUUUCCAAUAUAGAGAUUUGCUAUAUUUUUAAAUCACCAAACUGGAC